CGAGGAAAUAAGCUUCUCUGAGGAAGAUCUGGACAACGUGGUCAGCCCACAUGAAGAUCCACUAGGGAUACAAGUGGAUAUAGGGGAUGACUCAAGUCUGAACAAAGUAAUGGUAGACAACGGCAGCUCGGUAGAUAUAUUAUUAUACCUAGCUGCGUUCGAAAAAAUGGGCUACAAAGUAGAUCAGCUAACCCCGGCCAAGGAAGCCAUCUAUGGGUUUACAAACAUAAAGGCCCCAGUAGUAGGAGCCAUCGAUCUACAGAUAUCCCUAAGAAAAAGAAACGGGAGAGUAUCACGCACGGCACACUUCAUUGUGGUCAACAUAGACUCUCCGUUCAAUGGGAUCUUGGGUAGACCGAGCAUUCAUGGUUUCAAAGCGAU
rnacentral:lncRNA from 1 species